AAAAACCAAAACUGGUAUUUGCAUUUGAAAGUAUGUAAAGGAUGUACAAGCUUGACUGCAUAUCCAUUUAAAUAUAUAUCCACUUAAAAUCUAUAUACAGAUUUAGCAUAUUAAUUGGCAAAAACUUGGAAACAAUAUUACGUAAUUCGCACUACUCCACUAAUCAAAAUAUCUUCUACUACGCUUCAUUGCAGUUGCACGCAUGCAACGUUUCUCUACAUUUUACAAUGCUUCACGUUGCAACUGUGUCACGGAUCGUACGAAUUAACAGAAAUUUGGCGCGUUACCGCCAAUCAAUACAAAGUUCGAUAUUCUCGUCAAAACACGUUGUUUCCCGACGACAUGAGAAAACUGCAAUCUCGGCUUACCAAGUGUUCUCGUCCUCCUGUAGAGCCAUCACGACGAACGACAGCGACAGUGCGUCCGAAUCAAACACAAGUAAACGGAGAUCCAACGUAUGUUAAAGCAGACUACGAGUAUAAUUGCAAUUGUUCAACAUUCCUCGGGAAUCUCAUGCAAAUGGGAGCGAGAGCUUUCAUAUCGCGCAAACUCUCUCAAUUCUGACAGGGGUCAAGGUCAGAGAGAAACCUGAGAAGCGUCACGCCGACUGCCGACCUUUUUCCUAUUAAGGUGCCUACUGGGGGUCGAUCAUGAAACUUUUUCCCUAAGGCGGAAACGUGAAAAGUGAAAAUCUUUACCAUUGAAGUUAAUGGAGAAAUUUUUAACUUUUCACGUUUCCGCCUUAGGGAAAAAGGCUUAGUUUACACCGAGCACUUGAUACGCGUACUGGGCCCCGAUUCUCUAACUCACUCGUAAGAGAAACGUAUGCGCAAAUUCAGAGUUGCGAGCGCUUUUAUUUGAAAACCUAUUCUCGAACCUCAGAUACGUGCACGCAUUGAAACGUACACGCAAAUUUUCAUACGCAGCGCUGCGAGUGGUCUGGAGCAUUCGCAUCCUGAUUUCGAGCACGUUUGCGAAUGUCUAUUGGCCUAUUUAGUGUAAAACUUUCUGUAACCUAUAAGCGCAUAAUAUUAUUUAAUAUAUUAUUAUAAAUAAUAAUAUUAAAUAAUAUUUAAUAUUAAAUAAUAUUC